ACACUGCUCUGGAACUAGUCUGGGCCUCACUUUACAGAAAGCUCAGUUUGUUCACUUUCAUUUUUAUAGGA